UACAAUGAUGAUUUACUCUAUUAUCACGACGGUCAACGCAGCCACUCAAAGAGAUGGCAUUGACGACCACCAGCCUGUGACAGGGCUUAGAUCUGAAC
rnacentral:snoRNA from 1 species